rnacentral:rRNA from 1 species
GCUGCGCGUGCUGGAAAGCGUGCCUCCUCGACCGUCUCACCCAGUGUGGUGGGGGGGGAUCGUGGAGUGUCGGUGCGGAAGGCCUUACCACAAACUCUUGUACUUCCAUGUUUUCUGUCUGAACUGUCAUAUAAAUAAGUUAAAACUUUCAACAACGGAUCUCUUGGUUCUCGCAUCGAUGAAGAACGCAGCGAAAUGCGAUAAGUAGUGUGAAUUGCAGAAUUCCGUGAAUCAUCGAAUCUUUGAACGCACAUUGCGCCUCCUGGUAUUCCGGGAGGCAUGCCUGUUCGAGCGUCAUUAAAACCAAUUCAAGCAUUUCUGCUUGGUCAUGGAGGAAGAGUCCACCCUGUGGCCUCCCCCCCGAAAUCCAAGGGCGGAAAGAUUCCGGUACUCGGUGUAGUACUAACGUUCACUUUGUAUCCGGAGUCGUACCAGCCGGUAAACCCCCCACAAUUCUCU